ACCACAUCAGUAAAAAGACACAUUCAACACAGUCGUGGUUGGAAGUUUGCACCAAAUUAUCACCUUUGUUCUGAGGAUGGAGAGUCCUACCAACACAUUUUCCAGGCUUGCACCUUCUCGCAACAGGUUUGGGUGCAGGUUCAGGCUCGUUUGAGCCUCUCCUUCUUGCCGCCGUCCUCGGACUUUGCCAGUUGGUGGCUCGCUGUCUGGCAAUCUAUUGCGAAGAUCGAUCACAAGACGUUCGACACCGGAGUCAUUCUCGUUACGUGGUUGAUUUGGAAAUGGCGCAACGCACGGGUUUUCGAGGGAACGGCCUCGUCAGUCACGCAACUGUGUGCGGCCAUGUGUGAUGAAUGGGAAACUUGGAAAUCAACAGGGCUAGUACACAGCCCAUUCAUUGUUCCAUGGCCCAACAAACGUACACACACACCUGUGGCGACAGAAUGGAGAGAAAGCAAGAUCGGUUGGGGAACGGCGGGCGUGCGGCGGCGCGGCGGCGUGGCCGAGAGUGCAGCAUUGCCACGAUGGGCGGAAAAGGGUGUGGGGGCAGGCGCCGGCGCCGGCGGCGGUGGGUUCAGCGGCAGUGCCUGCGGGUGA
rnacentral:lncRNA from 1 species